AUAUUUUUAUUGUAAAAAGCAAGUUUAUUUUCCAAAUAAAAAGUCGGUUUUUCCGAAAAUAUAC
rnacentral:tRNA from 1 species